AACGAACGCUGGCGGCAGGCCUAAUACAUGCAAGUCGAACGAGAGAGCCCUUCGGGGUGAGUAGAGUGGCGCGCGGGUGAGUAACACGUGGGUAACCUACCCUUUAGCUGGGGAUAACAGAGAGAAAUUUCUGCUAAUACCGAAUAAGCUGUUUACAGGAAAGGGGGCUUCGGCUCCCACUGUAGGAUGGGCCCGCGGGACAUUAGUUUGAUGGUGGGGUAACGACCUACCAUGGCUACGAUGUCUAGCUGGUCUGAGAGGAUGAUCAGCCACACUGGAACUGAGACACGGUCCAG
rnacentral:rRNA from 1 species